rnacentral:rRNA from 1 species
GACGAACGCUGGCGGCGUGCUUAACACAUGCAAGUCGAACGCUGAAGCCUGGCUUUUGUUGGGUGGAUGAGUGGCGAACGGGUGAGUAACGCGUGAGUAACCUGCCCCCUUCUUUGGGAUAACGCCCGGAAACGGGUGCUAAUACUGGAUAUUCACUGGCCUUCGCAUGGGGGUUGGUGGAAAGGUUUGUUCUGGUGGGGGAUGGGCUCGCGGCCUAUCAGCUUGUUGGUGGGGUGAUGGCCUACCAAGGCUUUGACGGGUAGCCGGCCUGAGAGGGUGACCGGUCACAUUGGGACUGAGAUACGGCCCAGACUCCUACGGGAGGCAGCAGUGGGGAAUAUUGCACAAUGGGCGAAAGCCUGAUGCAGCGACGCCGCGUGAGGGAUGGAGGCCUUCGGGUUGUAAACCUCUUUCGCUCAUGGUCAAGCCGCAACUGUGGGUUGUGGUGAGGGUAGUGGGUAAAGAAGCGCCGGCUAACUACGUGCCAGCAGCCGCGGUAAUACGUAGGGCGCGAGCGUUGUCCGGAAUUAUUGGGCGUAAAGGGCUUGUAGGCGGUUGGUCGCGUCUGCCGUGAAAUCCUCUGGCUUAACUGGGGGCGUGCGGUGGGUACGGGCUGACUUGAGUGCGGUAGGGGAGACUGGAACUCCUGGUGUAGCGGUGGAAUGCGCAGAUAUCAGGAAGAACACCGGUGGCGAAGGCGGGUCUCUGGGCCGUUACUGACGCUGAGGAGCGAAAGCGUGGGGAGCGAACAGG